rnacentral:rRNA from 1 species
UACGAAGGUCCCAAGCGUUAUCCGGAUUUAUUGGGUUUAAAGGGUGCGUAGGCGGGUUAUUAAGUCAGUGGUGAAAGCUCCAUGCCUAACAUGGAAAUUGCCAUUGAUACUGAUGAUCUUGAGUACAGUUGAAGUGGGCGGAAUGUGUCAUGUAGUGGUGAAAUACUUAGAUAUGACACAGAACACCGAUUGCGUAGGCAGCUCACUAAACUGUAACUGACGCUGAGGCACGAAAGCGUGGGGAGCAAACAGG